rnacentral:rRNA from 1 species
GGACGAACGCUGGCGGCGUGCUUACCCCAUGCAAGUCGAACGGAAAGGCCCUGCUUUUGUGGGGUGCUCGAGUGGCGAACGGGUGUGUAACACGUGAGUAACCUGCCCUUGACUUUGGGAUAACUUCAGGAAACUGGGGCUAAUACCGGAUAGGAGCUCCUGCUGCAUGGUGGGGGUUGGAAAGUUUCGGCGGGUGGGGAUGGACUCGGGGCUUAUCAGCUUGUUGGUGGGGUAGUGGCUUACCAAGGCUUUGACGGGUAGUCGGCCUGAGUGGGUGACCGGCCACAUUAGGACUGAGAUACGGACCAGACGCCUACGGGAGGCAGCAGUGGAGAAUAUUGCACAAUGGGCGGAAGCCUGAUGCAGCAACGCCGCGUGCGGGAUGACGGCCUUCGGGUUGUAAACCGCUUUCGCCUGUGACGAAGCGUGAGUGACGGUAAUGGGUAAAGAAGCACCGGCUAACUACGUG